GACGUAGGGGGCCAGCGUUGUUCGGAUUUACUGGGCGUAGAGGGCGCGUAGGCGGCUUAACAAGUCACUUGUGAAAUCUCCGGGCUUAACUCGGAACGGCCAAGUGAAACUGUCAAGCUAGAGUGCGGAAGGGGCAAUCGGAAUUCUUGGUGUAGCGGUGAAAUGCGUAGAUAUCAAGAGGAACACCUGCGGCGAAGGCGGGUUGCUGGGCCGACACUGACGCUGAAGCGCGAAAGCGUGGGGAGCAAACAGG
rnacentral:rRNA from 1 species